rnacentral:misc_RNA from 1 species
GAUGAAGAACGUAGCGAAAUGCGAUAAGUAAUGUGAAUUGCAGAAUUCAGUGAAUCAUCGAGUUUUUGAACGCAUAUUGCGCCCUCUGGUAUUCCGGGGGGCAUGCCUGUUCGAGCGUCAUUAAAUAACCCUCAAGCAUAGCUUGGUGUUGGGCUUUUUUACGUCCUUGACUGGGAUGGGCCUAAAAAUUAGUGGCGAUGGCUUUUUUACUUUCAAGCGUAGUAAAUCUCGUCUUGCUAAAGAGGAAAAAGAUUUUUUUUCUGCCAAAAAUUUUAACAUUUAAAGUUUACCUCGGAUCAGGUAGGAUUACCCGCUGAACUUAAGCAUAUCAAUAAGCGGAGGA